rnacentral:rRNA from 1 species
CAAUAGCGUAUAUUAAAGCUGUUGCGGUUAAAAAGCUCGUAGUUGGAUUUCUGUCAAGGACAACUGGUCCGCCCUCCGGGUGAGCACAUAGUUUGGUCUUGGCAUCUUGCUGGAAACUGUUGCUGCGCUUGGUUGUGUGGUGCAGCUUUCAGCACUUUCACUUUGAGGAAAUUGGAGUGUUUCAAGCAGGCACAUGCCUUUGGACACAGUAGCAUGGAAUAAUUAGAUUGGGCUUUUGCUCCAACUUGUUGGUUCCUGGAGCUGAGGUGAGAAUCAAUGGGGAUUGUUGGGGGCAUCCGAAUUUAGCCGUCAGAGGUGAAAUUCUUGGAUCUGCUAAAGACGGACAACUGCGAAGGCGUUUGCCCAGGAUGUUUUCAUUGA